rnacentral:lncRNA from 1 species
AUUGUUAGAUGUAUAUCCUAGAAGUCAAUUGUUGGUUGACAUAUUUUUAUUCUAUGAUACAUAUUUAUACUUAAACUAUUGAUUUAAUCAAUAAAAGGUAAGUUUUUUUUUAUUCAAGUAUUAUGUGUCCUUGAAUCAUCUUUGAAAUUGAUGUUAUGAUACAUAUUCUUAAAAAUUAAAAAUUAGAGGCAUGUAUGAAUGAUUUCUAAAUUGCUCCUAGUUAUAGGAUAGUCAUGGGGAUAGUGAUCCUUCCAG